rnacentral:tRNA from 4 species
GGGCCCUUAGCUCAGUUGGUUAGAGCAGCUGACUCAUAAUCAGCUGGUCGGGGGUUCGAGUCCCUCAGGGCCCACUA